rnacentral:rRNA from 1 species
UACGUGAGGGGCAAACGUUGUUCGGUGUCACUGGGCUUAAAGGGUGCGUAGGUGGCUGCAUAAGUAAGGUGUGAAAUCCCAUGGCUUACCCAUGGAAUCGCGCCUUAUACUGUGUGGCUUGAGGGUCAGAGGGGAAAGAGGAACUCCAGGUGUAGCGGUGAAAUGCGCAGAUAUCUGGGGGAAGGCCGGCGGCGAAGGCGUCUUUCUGGCUGAAACCUGACACUGAGGCACGAAAGCGUGGGGAGCAAACAGG